AUACAUGMAGUCGUACGCUUCUUUUUCMCCGGAGUUGCUCCACCGGAAAAAGAAGAGUGGCGAACGGGUGAGUAACACGUGGGUAACCUGCCCAUCAGAAGGGGAUAACACUUGGAAACAGGUGCUAAUACCGUAUAACAAUCGAAACCGCAUGGUUUUGAUUUGAAAGGCGCUUUCGGGUGUCGCUGAUGGAUGGACCCGCGGUGCAUUAGCUAGUUGGUGAGGUAACGGCUCACCAAGGCCACGAUGCAUAGCCGACCUGAGAGGGUGAUCGGCCACAUUGGGACUGAGACACGGCCCAAACUCCUACGGGAGGCAGCAGUAGGGAAUCUUCGGCAAUGGACGAAAGUCUGACCGAGCAACGCCGCGUGAGUGAAGAAGGUUUUCGGAUCGUAAAACUCUGUUGUUAGAGAAGAAYAAGGAUGAGAGUAACUGUUCAUCCCUUGACGGUAUCUAACCAGAAAGCCACGGCUAACUACGUGCCAGCAG
rnacentral:rRNA from 1 species